rnacentral:rRNA from 1 species
CAGUAGCCGCGGUAAUACGUAGGUGGCAAGCGUUGUCCGGAAUUAUUGGGCGUAAAGGGCUCGCAGGCGGUUUCUUAAGUCUGAUGUGAAAGCCCCCGGCUCAACCGGGGAGGGUCAUUGGAAACUGGGAAACUUGAGUGCAGAAGAGGAGAGUGGAAGUCUACGUGUAGCGGUGAAAUGCGUAGAGAUGUGGAGGAACACCAGUGGCGAAGGCGACUCUCUGGUCUGUAACUGACGCUGAGGAGCGAAAGCGUGGGGAGCGAACAGGAUUAGAUACCCGCGUAGUCCCUGUCUCUUAUAC